rnacentral:rRNA from 1 species
AUUGAACGCUGGCGGCAGGCCUAACACAUGCAAGUCGAGCGAGCGGCGGACGGGUGAGGAAUGUCUGGGAAACUGCCUGAUGGAGGGGGAUAACUACUGGAAACGGUAGCUAAUACCGCAUACCAUCAGAUGCGCCCAGAUGGGAUUCGAUAGUAGGUGGGGUAACGGCUCACCUAGGCGACGAUCCCUAGCUGGUCUGCGAGGAUGACCGGCCAAACUGGAACGGAGAAGCGGUCCAGACUCCUACGGGAGGCAGCAGUGGGGAAUAUUGCACAAUGGGCGCAAGCCUGAUGCAGCCAUGCCGGGUGUGUGAAGAAGGCCUUCGGGUUGUAAAGCACUGUCAGCGGGGAGGCGUUACCCGCAGAGGAAGCACCGGCUAACUCCGUGCCAGCAGCCGCGGUAAUAC